ACGUUGGCGAUGCGUCUUAAGCAUGCAAGUCGAGCGGGCUUAUUCGGGCAACUGGAUAAGUUAGCGGCGAACUGGUGAGUAACACGUAGGUAAUCUGCCGUGAAGCGGGGGAUAACCCAUGGAAACAUGGACUAAUACCGCAUAUACUCUUGCUACAUAAGUAGAGUAGAGGAAAGUUUUUUCGCUUCACGAUGAGCCUGCGGCCUAUUAGCCUGUUGGUAGGGUAAUGGCCUACCAAAGCUACGAUAGGUAGCCGACCUGAGAGGGUGACCGGCCACAUUGGGACUGAGAUACGGCCC
rnacentral:rRNA from 1 species